rnacentral:rRNA from 1 species
CGGCGGACGGGUGAGUAACACGUGGGUAACCUACCUAUAAGACUGGGACAACUUCGGGAAACCGGAGCCAAUACCGGAUAAGAUAUCGAACCGCAUGGUUCGAUAGUGAAAGAUGGUUUUGCUAUCACUUAUAGAUGGACCCGCGCCGUAUUAGCUAGUUGGUGAGGUAACGGCUCACCAAGGCAACGAUACGUAGCCGACCUGAGAGGGUGAUCGGCCACACUGGAACUGAGACACGGUCCAGACUCCUACGGGAGGCAGCAGCC